CCUACGGGAGGCUGCAGUGAGGAAUAUUGGUCAAUGGGCGAGAGCCUGAACCAGCCAAGUCGCGUGAGGGAGUACUGCCCUAUGGGUUGUAAACCUCUUUUGUCGGGGAGCAAAAGCCGGACGUGUCCGGCUGUGAGAGUACCCGAAGAAAAAGCAUCGGCUAACUCCGUGCCAGUAGCCGCGGUAAUACGGAGGAUGCGAGCGUUAUCCGGAUUUAUUGGGGUUCAGGGGUGCGCAGGCGGAUUUUUAAGUCAGCGGUCAAAUCGUGGGGUUCAACACCAUCCAGCCGUUGCAACUGGGAUCUAGAGUGUGCGAGAGGUAUGCGGAAUGCGUGGUGUAGCGGUGAAAUGCAUAGAUAUCACGCAGAACCCCGAUUGCGAAGGCAGCAUACCGGUGCACAACUGACGCUCAGGCACGAAAGCGUGGGUAUCGAACAGGAUUAGAUACCCGGGUAGUC
rnacentral:rRNA from 1 species